rnacentral:rRNA from 1 species
UACAGAGGUCCCAAGCGUUGUCCGGAAUCAUUGGGCGUAAAGCGCGUGUAGGCGGCCCGAUAAGUUCGCUGUGAAAAGUCCAGGGCUCAACCCUGGGAUGCCGGUGGAUACUGUCGGGCUCGAGUCCGGAAGAGGCGAGUGGAAUUCCUGGUGUAGCGGUGAAAUGCGCAGAUAUCAGGAGGAACACCAAUGGCGAAGGCAGCUCGCUGGGACGUGACUGACGCUGAGACGCGAAAGCGUGGGAGCAAACAGG